rnacentral:lncRNA from 10 species
CUUCCCGCCGCCUCCUUUGUGUGGCCGCGGGCCGCAGCGUCCCCGCGCCCGGCCUCCAGGACGCCCCCUCUCCGCCUGCGACUUCUCGGAUGCCGCCCCGCCAGGGGUCCGUGUCGUGGGGCUGCGCCCGGAACGCGCCGGGGAGACGCGCAGACCCCGAGGUGCGGCGCCAGCCCGGGCCCAGCUGCACGUGGGUCUCCCGGAUGGGGACAUGCGAUGAGGCCAACGAUGAGGUCUCCCAAAGGAAAGUGAUUGAAGACAAAGACCCAUUCUGCCAGUGGGAUAUGCUGGGAAUACCAACUAUACUUGUUACUGAGUGUGCAUGGCUGGUGUUGGCCAGCCUUCCUGAUGCCAGCAAGAGGAGACAGAAGUAAUGACCCAAGCUACACUUUCCAUGACACUCAAAUGGCCAGGCUCUUUGACACCCACCGUGAGGGGCUGUUCCAAAGAUGUUGUGUUCCUACCUCAGUUGGUCCCCACAAGCAGCAGGUUCCUCCUCCAGUAUUCUCCAAUAUUUGACCCUUUUUGAGAUGCAUUUCUCAUAGAUGUGUACUUCCAAUCCACAUUUCCUUCCUACCUCUACCUCGGUUUUGUUUGAGAAAUCCAAAUCAUUUAACACUUCUACCUGCUGUUUCUUUGUGACUUCACAUUCACAGUGAAAUUUCAUUUUGUCCUGCAAUUGUGUGGCUUGCCUUAAUCCGCAAAUAGAGCUUCAAAUUGUUUAUUCCUUUGACCUGGAGUUUAGCCAGCUCCAGCUAGGCUCUGAGUUUGGCUUUGUGUCCAUAAGCCACAGUUGGGAGAAAUGCAAGAACUGCCCAAACAGAAUAAAACAAAUGAUCUAUUUAGUCUUGUUUCCUCUCUUGGAAGAAGUCCAGCGUUGAGUGCCUUGGAAUAAAUGAAAAUCCCCCACCCCACCUCCACUGCUCUCCCAUGCACCCAAACAGUAUGACCUUGUGUUUAAGUAAAAACCGUCCUUAGCUCCCAGUGGGAUGAUGGUGUUUUGUCUGGAAGACUGACGGAUGUUAUGAUAAUAAGAUAAUGGAUACUCACUUCUCUCCUAUCUAACCCCUAUUUAAAAGACAUUACACCGUAACAGUGCUUGUUACGCAAUAUUAUAGUUGCAAAUGUUGUUAUGGAAGAUUGUUUCAACCAGGGGAAAAGAGACUGGUAAUAACAGUACACUUAUACAAUUAGUUUCUGAAACUGUUGCAUUGCUUUGGGGUUUUUUUUUUUAGCUUAGAAAAGACAUUUAUCUUUUUAUUUCCCUUUAAAGUUGGCUUUCAAAUAAAUUCAAUUUCCUCUUUCUGUAACUUCUGAAACAGAUUAAACCAGAGCAUCAGUUUGCACUUUGCUAUUGUCGUCACUAGUUUUCACCAAGAGCUUCAGAGAAAAGACAUUACUAAGUGCUGGGCUGGGUAUUAUUUUCUACUUAUAUGUGACCAAAUAGGAUGUAACAGCCAGGUUCUGAGAGUCGUUGUGAUACUGACCCCUUCAAACAACAGCCCAGCUGCUCUCCUUCCUUUUACCACCAAACAAUAGAUGCUGCCUCCCUUUUUCCAUGGGUCUCUUCGGUCAAUCUUCUUACCCCAUCAUCGGGCUCCCCUCCUUUUCUUCCUCGCUUCCUCGGGCCCUCCUUCUCUCCCAAAUGUUACCAAUAGCUUCCAAUGGCAACCCCAGUAGUUUUUCA